AAAUAUCGUGAGCAAACAGGUGCCCUUGCCAACGCAAGGGGUAACAGGGAAUCGGGUGCAAAUCCCGAGCGGUCCCGCCACUGUAUAGGGGGAGUUCUCUUUCCACAGGCCACUCGAUCCUCGAUCGGGGAAGGCGAAAGAGAAUGACGAUCCCAAGCCAGGAGACCUACCUCGUUUGUUACACCUAU
rnacentral:ncRNA from 1 species